GACGAACGCUGGCGGCGUGCCUAAUACAUGCAAGUCGAACGCAGUGGGGACGGGUGAGUAACACGUGGGUAACCUCCCAUCAGAGGGGAUAACACUUGGAAACAGGUGCUAAACCGAUACUGAUGGAUGGACCCGCGGUGCAUUAGCUAGUUGGUGAGGUAACGGCUCACCAAGGCCACGAUGCAUAGCGGACCGGGGGGGGGAGUCGGCCACACGGGGACUGGAAAACGGCCAAGACUCCUACGUGAGGCAGCAGGAGGGAAUCUUCGGCAAUGGACGAAGGUCUGACCGAGCAACGAGGCGGGAGUGAAGAGGGUUUUGGGAUCGUAAAACUCUGUGGUUAGAGAAGCGGUAUCUAACCAGAAAGCCACGGCUAACUACGUGCCAGCAGCCGCGGUAAUAC
rnacentral:rRNA from 1 species